rnacentral:rRNA from 1 species
AUACGUAGGUGGCAAGCGUUGUCCGGAAUUAUUGGGCGUAAAGAGGGAGCAGGCGGCAGCAAGGGUCUGUGGUGAAAGCCUGAAGCUUAACUUCAGUAAGCCAUAGAAACCAGGCAGCUAGAGUGCAGGAGAGGAUCGUGGAAUUCCAUGUGUAGCGGUGAAAUGCGUAGAUAUAUGGAGGAACACCAGUGGCGAAGGCGACGAUCUGGCCUGCAACUGACGCUCAGUCCCGAAAGCGUGGGGAGCAAAUAGGAUUAGAUACCCUAGUAGUCCACGCCGUAAACGAUGAGUACUAAGUGUUGGAUGUCAAAGUUCAGUGCUGCAGUUAACGCAAUAAGUACUCCGCCUGAGUAGUACGUUCGCAAGAAUGAAACUUAAAGGAAUUGACGGGG